rnacentral:rRNA from 1 species
AACCUCCGCAAUGUGAGAAAUCGCGACGGGGGGAUCCCAAGUGCCAUUCUUAACGGGAUGGCUUUUCAUUAGUGUAAAGAGCUUUUGGAAUAAGGGCUGGGCAAGACCGGUGCCAGCCGCCGCGGUAACACCGGCAGCUCUAGUGGUAGCAGUUUUUAUUGGGCCUAAAGCGUCCGUAGCCGGUUUAAUAAGUCUCUGGUGAAAUCCUGUAGCUUAACUGUGGGAAUUGCUGGAGAUACUAUUAGACUUGAGACCGGGAGAGGUUAGAGGUACUCCCAGGGUAGAGGUGAAAUUCUGUAAUCCUGGGAGGACCGCCUGUUGCGAAGGCGUCUAACUGGAACGGUUCUGACGGUGAGGGACGAAAGUUAGGGGCGCGAAACCGGAUUAGAUACCCGGGUAGUCCUAACCGUAAACGAUGCGGACUUGGUGUUGGGGUGGCUUUGAGCUGCUCCAGUGCCGAAGGGAAGCUGUUAAGUCCGCCGCCUGGGAAGUACGGUCGCAAGACUGAAACUUAAAGGAAGU